UGCAAGUCGAGCGGUAACAGAGAGUAGCUUGCUACUCUGCUGACGAGCGGCGGACGGGUGAGUAAUGCUUGGGAAUGUACCUUAUGGUGGGGGACAACAGUUGGAAACGACUGCUAAUACCGCAUAAUGUCUUCGGACCAAAGCGGGGGACCUUCGGGCCUCGCGCCAUAAGAUCAGCCCAAGUGGGAUUAGCUAGUUGGUGAGGUAAUGGCUCACCAAGGCGACGAUCCCUAGCUGGUUUGAGAGGAUGAUCAGCCACACUGGGACUGAGACACGGCCCAGACUCCUACGGGAGGCAGCAGUGGGGAAUAUUGCACAAUGGGCGCAAGCCUGAUGCAGCCAUGCCGCGUGUGUGAAGAAGGCCUUCGGGUUGUAAAGCACUUUCAGUAAGGAGGAAAGGUUGGAUGUUAAUAGCAUUCAGCUGUGACGUUACUUACAGAAGAAGCACCGGCUAACUCCGUGCCAGCAGCCGCGGUAAUACGGAGGGUGCGAGCGUUAAUCGGAAUUACUGGGCGUAAAGCGUACGCAGGCGGUUUGUUAAGCGAGAUGUGAAAGCCCCGGGCUCAACCUGGGAACUGCAUUU
rnacentral:rRNA from 1 species